UGACAGUACUCCUACGGGGAGGCAGCAGUGGGGGAAUAUUGCACAAUGGGCGCAAGCCUGAUGCAGCCAUGCCGCGUGUGUGAAGAAGGCCUUCGGGUUGUAAAGCACUUUCAGUCGUGAGGAAGGUAGUGUAGUUAAUAGCUGCAGUAUUUGACGUUAGCGACAGAAGAAGCACCGGCUAACUCCGUGCCAGCAGCCGCGGUAAUACGGAGGGUGCGAGCGUUAAUCGGAAUUACUGGGCGUAAAGCGCAUGCAGGUGGUUUGUUAAGUCAGAUGUGAAAGCCCGGGGCGUCAACCUCGGAAUAGCAUUUGUAAACUAGGCAGACUAGAGUACUGUAGAGGGGGGUAGGAAUUUCAGGUGUAGCGGUGAAAUGCGUAGAGAUCUGAAGGAAUACCGGUGGCGAAGGCGGCCCCCUGGACAGAUACUGACACUCAGAUGCGAAAGCGUGGGGAGCAAACAGGAUUAGAUACCCUGGUAG
rnacentral:rRNA from 1 species